rnacentral:lncRNA from 1 species
CGAUCGAUGGGGACGUCAUCCUCUCUCUUGAUUCCUUCCCCAGAAUCCCGUCCGCGCGAUCUCCUCCUACCCCCCGCGAUUGCGGCCUCCGAUCCCCUUCCUCACGGCCUUACCCUGCGCCACCCGAGAAAACGCUGUCACUUCCUCCUCCCGCGCCUUUGCCCUCCCCAAUCCUCCGGUCUGGAAGCGCCGCCGCAGAUCAAGCGACCCUCGUCGCCGUCGGGUCAGGGGCGCUGCCGCCUCUCCACCGUCAUGUCAAGGGUGCCUCCUCCUCCUCGCUGUCAGACCCCCUCGAGAACCCUAGAAUCCUUUGGACGCCAUCAAAUAAGGAGCUGCCUCGACACCUUCACGCCACCAGAUCGCUGUCAUGCCGCUGCUCGCCAUAUCACACGUCUUCGCCUGAUUGUAUUCCCCUGUUCAUAUGCUUGCAGUGAAGGGAAAAUUAUGAAUUUUGCUUGUCUCAUAAAAUUUGCUUUCAUGGACUGCCGUGAAGCUUAUCAUCCUCACUGUGUGGGAGAGGAAGACAGAUUGAGGAGUUCCGAAGACUGACAUGCAACAGGAGCUUUCAUUGCUGCCACAAGAUAUGCAAGCUCUAUGGUUCCUACAUCAAUUAUUAGCCAGGGCAUCGGUUGGCAGGUAAAUAAAUCAAAUUAUUAUUUGCACCAUGGAGUUCGUCCGGUCUUUGAUUUGGAAUAUUGAUCAUCCUAAA